GAUGAACGCUGGCGGCGUGCCUAAUACAUGCAAGUCGAGCGAACAGAUGAGAGGCUUGCUUCUCUGAUGUUAGCGGCGGACGGGUGAGUAACACGUGGGUAACCUACCUAUAAGACUGGGAUAACUCCGGGAAACCGGGGCUAAUUCCGGAUAAUAUUUUGAACCGCAUGGUUCAAUAGUGAAAGACGGUUUCGGCUGUCACUUAUAGAUGGACCCGCGCCGUAUUAGCUAGUUGGUAAGGUAACGGCUUACCAAGGCGACGAUACGUAGCCGACCUGAGAGGGUGAUCGGCCACACUGGAACUGAGACACGGUCCAGACUCCUACGGGAGGCAGCAGUAGGGAAUCUUCCGCAAUGGGCGAAAGCCUGACGGAGCAACGCCGCGUGAGUGAUGAAGGUCUUCGGAUCGUAAAACUCUGUUGUUAGGGAAGAACAAAUUUGUUAGUAACUGAACAAGUCUUGACGGUACCUAACCAGAAAGCCACGGCUAACUACGUGCCAGCAGCCGCGGUAA
rnacentral:rRNA from 1 species